GAUCAUGGCUCAGGAUGAACGCUGGCGGCGUGCUUAACACAUGCAAGUCGAACGGAGUUUUAAGCGGAAGUUUUCGGAUGGAAGUUUAAGAACUUAGUGGCGGACGGGUGAGUAACGCGUGGGUAACCUGCCUCAUACAGGGGGAUAGCAGUUAGAAAUGACUGCUAAGACCGCAUAAUAUAGCGAAACCGCAUGAUUUUUGCUAUCAAAUAUUUAUAGGUAUGAGAUGGGCCCGCGUCUGAUUAGCUAGUUGGUGGGGUAAAAGCCUACCAAGGCGACGAUCAGUAGCCGGCUUGAGAGAGUGACCGGCCACAUUGGGACUGAGACACGGCCCAAACUCCUACGGGAGGCAGCAGUGGGGAAUAUUGGACAAUGGGGGAAACCCUGAUCCAGCGAACCGCCGCGUGAGUGAAGAAGUAUUUCGGUAUGUAAAGCUCUAUCAGCAGGGAAGAUAAUGACAGUACCUGACUAAGAAGCCCCGGCUAACUACGUGCCAGCCGCAGC
rnacentral:rRNA from 1 species